rnacentral:ncRNA from 1 species
AAUUAAAGAAAUUGACGGAAGAAUACCACAAGGAAUGGAUUGUGCGGCUUAAUUUGACUCAACUCGGGGUAAUUUACCAGGUAUAACAUGAUAUAAUAUGUUAUCAUGAUAGUGGUGCAUGGCCGUUUUCAAUGGAUGCUGUGAAGUAAUGAUUAAUUUCAACAAGAUGUGAGACCCUCAUUUAGACAGAUGUAGUGAUACAUAUGAAGGAGAGGAUUAAAACAGGUCCGUUAUGCCCUAAGAUAAUCUGGGUUGCACGCGCAAUACAAUAAUAUUUGAUAUUAUAAGGGAUAAUAUAAUGUAAGAUAUAUUUGAACAUGGAAUUGCUAGUAAAUUUUAUUUAAUAAGUAGAAUUGAAUGAGUCCCUGUUCUUUGUACACACCGCCCGUCGCUAUCUAAGAUGGUAUUAUCUAUGAACAAAUUUAUAAAGUGAAUAGAUGGUACUAGAUCUGAUAUAAGUCGUAACAUGGUUGCUGUUGGAGAACCAUUAGCAGGAUCAUAA